GCUUAACACAUGCAAGUCGAGGGGCAGCAUGGUCUUAGCUUGCUAAGGCCGAUGGCGACCGGCGCACGGGUGAGUAACACGUAUCCAACCUGCCGUCUACUCUUGGACAGCCUUCUGAAAGGAAGAUUAAUACAAGAUGGCAUCAUGAGUCCGCAUGUUCACAUGAUUAAAGGUAUUCCGGUAGACGAUGGGGAUGCGUUCCAUUAGAUAGUAGGCGGGGUAACGGCCCACCUAGUCUUCGAUGGAUAGGGGUUCUGAGAGGAAGGUCCCCCACAUUGGAACUGAGACACGGUCCAAACUCCUACGGGAGGCAGCAGUGAGGAAUAUUGGUCAAUGGGCGAGAGCCUGAACCAGCCAAGUAGCGUGAAGGAUGACUGCCUUAUGGGUUGUAAACUUCUUUUAUAAAGGAAUAAAGUCGGGUAUGGAUACCCGUUUGCAUGUACUUUAUGAAUAAGGAUCGGCUAACUCCGUGCCAGCAGCCGCGGUAAUACGGAGGAUUCGAGCGUUAUCCGGAUUUAUUGGGUUUAAAGGGAGCGUAGAUGGAUGUUUAAGUCAGUUGUGAAAGUUUGCGGCUCAACCGUAAAAUUGCAGUUGAUACUGGAUAUCUUGAGUGCAGUUGAGGCAGGCGGAAUUCGUGGUGUAGCGGUGAAAUGCUUAGAUAUCACGAAGAACUCCGAUUGCGAAGGCAGCCUGCUAAGCUGCAACUGACAUUGAGGCUCGAAAGUGUGGGUAUCAAACAGGAUUAGAUACCCUGGUAGUCCACACGGUAAACGAUGAAUACUCGCUGUUUGCGAUAUACGGCAAGCGGCCAAGCGAAAGCGUUAAGUAUUCCACCUGGGGAGUACGCCGGCAACGGUGAAACUCAAAGGAAUUGACGGGGGCCCGCACAAGCGGAGGAACAUGUGGUUUAAUUCGAUGAUACGCGAGGAACCUUACCCGGGCUUAAAUUGCAGAUGAAUUACGGUGAAAGCCGUAAGCCGCAAGGCAUCUGUGAAGGUGCUGCAUGGUUGUCGUCAGCUCGUGCCGUGAGGUGUCGGCUUAAGUGCCAUAACGAGCGCAACCCUUGUUGUCAGUUACUAACAGGUUCUGCUGAGGACUCUGACAAGACUGCCAUCGUAAGAUGUGAGGAAGGUGGGGAUGACGUCAAAUCAGCACGGCCCUUACGUCCGGGGCUACACACGUGUUACAAUGGGGGGUACAGAGGGCCGCUACCACGCGAGUGGAUGCCAAUCCCAAAAACCUCUCUCAGUUCGGACUGGAGUCUGCAACCCGACUCCACGAAGCUGGAUUCGCUAGUAAUCGCGCAUCAGCCACGGCGCGGUGAAUACGUUCCCGGGCCUUGUACACACCGCCCGUCAAGCCAUGGGAGCCGGGGGUACCUGAAGUGCGUAACCGCGAGGAGCGCCCUAGGGUAAAACUGGUGACUGGGGCUAA
rnacentral:rRNA from 1 species